UUUGGGGGCCCGGGGCGGCCGCCCCCCCUGCCCCCCCUCAGGGCCGGGCCUGCAACCACUCUACGACGUCGCCUGGGAUGUCAUCCUCGUCGACAGCCCGCGUGGGUACGCGGCGUCGUCGCUGGGUCGGAUGUCAGCGGUUACACCGCGGGCGUGCUGGCGCGGGCUCGGAACGAGGAGGGUGCCUCGACGGACAUGUUGGUGCAUGACUACGAGCAGGAGAUGGAGCGGGCGUGCUCCAGGGAGUUCCUGUGAGAGGAGAACCGCGUGCCAGCGUCCAGCACACGGUCGGUGGCCCACUUCAUCAUCUGCGGUGGCAGUGCCGUCCGCCGGGGUGCCUUCUGUGGCCGCGCCGCCGCCACCGACACCGCCGUGCAGCCAAUGAUGAUGUCGGCAUGUGGUGAAAAGGGGGGCCAAGUGAAAACUCAACCAAGCUAUAAAAAUUCGGUGAGAUGAGUUGUUUUGCUCACAGCUCAUGCCAUGGCAUUUGUUGCCCCUUUUCUUACUUUGUUUUGUUUUUCCCUUCGUCGAUUUUUCAUGUCGCCUGACAAGAACUAGAAUGGCAAAGAAGAAGUGAAAAGAAAACACAGAACAAAGGAUGAAUGCCGGAGAGCACUACUGUAUAUUUACCUCCAAAUAUGAUGGGAAGUGGUGUGCUUGUUUCUGUUUGCAUUGAUCGCACGGUGGCCACCACUUCACCACGCAUCUGACGACGACUGUUUUAUCCACGAGGUGGAGGAUAAGGUUGGAGAUUUGGGAUCAGAUGCUGCGCCAAGAACUUGGGACCAAAGUGCUGAACUAACAGUAGGGGGAGGGUAAUUCUUCAGAAAUCAAAGAAAGGUCAUUGGUAUAUCCCUAUCACCGACGAAGAUUUGCUAGAGAGGAAGAGGACCAAAAUGUUUUUUCUAUUGUUGGAGAUAUACAUAAUACAUAUAGAUAAAUUUGGACCAUUUAUAACAGAGAUUUCUUGCCCAAAAUAUUAACUCUGUCCAGCUGUGGGCACUGUCAAGGUAAUAACAGGUAUUUGCUGAACCUUCUCUAACUAAAUAGACUUACGCACAAUCAACAAUAUCAAAUAGUUCCAAAUUAACAAAUGUUGUUUGAUUAAAAUACUGAAUUAAGAAUUUGGUGAAUUUAUAAUUCUCUACAUAAUCACUUAGUGCAUUGUUAGGUUAUCAAGUUAUUCUAGACCACUUGGGGCAAUAUCAUCAGACAUCAAUUUCUUGCAUACUGCAAUAAUGCAAGUUUAAAAAGCCAGUUUCAUAUGUUUCUUACUAUCUCUUUGUUCACCUAACAGCCAAGAAUCAUAAAAGGAUGCACCUAAUGAGGUAGAUUUUGUUUAUGAAUUUUCUUUGAAGUUUACGGAUGCUAUACUGAUUAAUAAAACAUUGUUCAACCUUCUAUGAGUCCACCUAGGGAGCUGUACAAAUUUGGAACAACUUCCAAAACAGGCAUUCAAGUAUUUUCGUCUGCUACCAGUAAGCUGCCAGAGCAAGAUAGCUGGGAUGUCGAGUCCCUAGGGCAAUGGUGAAUCACAAAUUGCUUGAUGUUCGAUGGGAAGCAUCAAACAAUACCAAUGUCGAGUAGUAAGAUCUGAUUGUUCAGCUGAUCAAGCCAAGAUAAGUGUGCGUGCAUCCCCUUUUAGUCCAGAUUUAGAAAAAUAUGAUUUCUGCUAUGAUAGUUUCCAGAACAGUUUGGCCCUUGAGACACUUCCUUUGUAUGUGUGUGUGGUCCUUUUCUUUCCAAAGAUAUGCAUGUCUAUAGAUAUUAUUGGAAUUGGUUCGACAAACAGUGUAUGUGUGACAAAUUUACUAGUAUACUGAUAUGGAAUGAAAUAAAUAUCCAUGCUUUCUGACACAUAAUCCCCUAGAAAUGUUAGGUACAUAGGAUAUGGAUAGUCUUUUUCAAUGCGAUAAAAUAAAGCGACAUCCUGUCUAUUUUUCUUUGCUAAAGGGGUAUUUCCAUGUCGUAUUGAAUGAUCACACUUAAAUAAGGUGGUGAACAUAGAGGAGAUCUCGGCCGGGGGAGGAUAAGUGGUGACAUAGAUGGGGUGACACAUUGAAAUAAAGAGCGUGGACCUGUUUGUUGGGAUCGGGUGCUUUUUGUUAUCCCGUUGCAAUGCACGGGCAUGUUUAAGUGUGUGUGUGUUUUACUGUUAUAAGAAUGAUCAUGAUGCCUUCAUGUCCAUAUUUUAUUUUAUCGACACCUCUAUCUCUAAACAU